rnacentral:ncRNA from 1 species
ACGCCAGCUCCGGUGAAGGUGGCGGAGGGGCCCUUCCGUUUUUCCCACGGCGAUGAACGACGAUCGUAACUAUAACGGUUCUAAGGUAGCGAAAUUCCUUGUCGGGUAAGUUUCGACCCGCACGAAAGGCG